GCCGCGGGCAGCCGCCAUUUCGGGGUCCCCCCCGGUGGCUGCUUGUGAGGGAAGGUCCCGGCAUGAGCCCCCCUGCCCUUGUGCUUCGGUUCCUGCAGGCACUAGUGCUCCUCAGGACUAGGUUCUGGAGGAGAUAGACCUCAUUAAAAGUCAGUCAUUUUUUCCCCCAACUCCUCAGGCUGCCAUACAGGCUUCCAUUUAACUUUAUUUCCCCAAAUAACUCAUGGCACAGCCAGUGCUUUGCUACAUCGAAAUACGAUUAACUUCAGCUUCUGCUGACUUCGUUUCCACCUCAAACUAAAUCUACAGGGGCCGAUCGUCAAAUACAUACAGAGUAAUAACACCACAAAUAUUAAUGCCCAGAAAGGCUUCCCUGUUUCCUGAGCCCGCCUCUAGCAUUAGCAUACUGCUCCUCGCCUUUCUGAGGCAUGGAACAAACCCCAAAACUCACACAGACCCUGCACUGUCUGGCUGCUGGCAGCGUACCUCGUACUGUGCUACAGAACAGACGGGAGAGAGGGAAAUUAUAUUCCUGCUUGUCCUUUUUUAAUCAAGUUCUGACUUUGCACCAAGCAAGCGCUUGGAAACUUACAGCUCCUGCCAGGGAAACAUUAUCUAGUCCAGCCAGCAAGUCAUAGUUGCUGAAGACAACAGAUGGGAUUUCGGGAGGGAGAUCAACAGUUGUUCCUUCCCAGCACACUCCUCAAGAAAGCUGCCUCCUCUGUGUGGGAUCAGAGGCAGGCACCCACACAGCAACAUGGAUGCAGUUGGGCUCCGACAACAGGGAAAAAUCACGGAGCUUCGCGUUUGUGUCAGCUGCCACCACCGAGCUGGGACUAGGAGGCAAUGCUGUCCCACCAAAGGGAAAAGGGACCCUUGCCUUCCUCCCCCAAAUCCCCAAGCCGCAGCACUUAGUUGUACUUCGUCUGCAAAGUGUGGGCUGUGCUGUGCACGUUCCUUCUAAAGUGGUUCCGUCAAAAAUCCCCCAUGAACAACAGGUUACGUCUCUGAUUAACUAAGGGUACACCUGCAGCACAUCAAGGACAGCCUUUGUGUGUGCCACGGUGCAUUUUUACCAUCAGCAAGCCUGAAAUGUUUUACACAGUUCCUGUGCUGAUGUUCCUUUGUGGUGCGCUCUGAGGUAUGCUGGUUUCACAAAAGGGCUCUCUCAACUUCAGGCAGCUCCUAUUAAGAAUCUUUCAUCUCAGUAUCAUGGCUGAUAAGGUGAACCAGCCUCCUGUCUGGCAAGAGAAUACCUUGGUUAUCCUUUAUAGGGUGUCAGUGCUGCUCUCUCCUGGGCAGAUCAUAUCACACUUUUUUUUUUUUUUUUAAGGCAUCCAAAGAAAGAAACACAUAAAGUCUCAAAUCUGCAAACUGUGUGUGCUUGGUUUCUGUUUCACAGGGAAGGAUACCAGUGACUUUUGAUCCCUGCUUCAAGGGAGCUGCUGACAGGGGCAGUGACAAUGCAGGAAGGCAGUUUUGGGACAUUCAGCCCAGAGAAACACCUUCCUGAUUAGUGCCUGGCACAAGGGGAAUUAACCUAAUGUACCUCCCCCUGACCCCUUUCAUCCAGACCCUUAUCCCUGAAAUUUUUACAUUAUGGUGAACACAUUUGGUAGAAAUCCUCGCCUCGCUGCUCACCAGAGUAAGCCCUCAAAAUAGGGACUUCCCUUUAAGGCUAGGCAUUUAGCUCUGCUCGCUGCAGGGCAGAUAAACACAGCCGAGUAGUAUUUCACAUGCUGCGGCAUUCACAGCUUCGCUUGCCUGCAUUGCCCUUGCCCCGUGUUUUAGUGAGGAACAUUUCCAUAUCUGCGACCACCACAUGUGAGAAACACCAUUCCCAGCAAGGCCAGCAGGUCUGCUUUUCCAAAUCCAGGUGGGAAGUUUAAAAAAAAAGCCUAGUAAUUCACAAAACAGUUAAAAGCCCCUGUUCAGAAAUAGCACAUGCAGAAGCAUUGGAGGGGACAUGUGAGGUUUGCCAAUGCUUUAGCCAGUCCUUAGGGAGGGUCUCAUCCCUUGGACAGAGUGCUGAGGGGAGAGCAUGAGUUCACCUUGAGAGAUCACCUCCAGCACAGCAGGGAAACCCCAUGUGGUAAAGAGCAUUUAACAGAGUAUUAAUUAAGAGUAUGGAAAGAGUAGUGAUUCCUGCAUAGCAAGUAGUUAGCAAGUCAUGGCUGAGGAUUAAAGCAGAGUGUGAAGUAUUUUAUAAUGAUACUGUGCUGGACUGCAUGACUCUCUUUAGCAGCUAAAGAGCGAUGACCAGAAUAGCUGAUGUCAAUUCAUUGUGAGAUGCUGUGAACUCAGUUAACAGAACAGCCCCGUCCAGACUGUUUAAGGAAGUAACAAGAUAAAUAGGUAAAAUUACCCCACAGCUAAGAUUAACACACAUCUCAGAGAACAGGAUUUUUACAAUACUUAUGGAUCUGAAAACAGGAACUUGGAAUUAAAAUACAUUUCUGAAAUAAAAUUUUAAAUUGCUGCUGCUCAGAGAAUGUAUCGCUCGUACAAGUUUGUGGCUAUUAAUGCUGGAUUCCCUAAUACCAAAGCUGGCAGGACAUCCAAGAGCAAUGCAAUCUGCACGCACCAAAGAGUGCAAUAGCUCUUGGCAAAGCGUCCAGAAAACGUUGCUACCUCUUUGCCAUGAGCAAACACACACGCAGGCACAAAAAGAUCAUUCUUACUGGUAACUGGAUGUUCCAGUAUCCUAAGUAAGCGAUGAAACUCACAGCAUACAUUCCCCUUGUCUGUGGGGCUUAUCGUGUAGACCUUCAUUUCUGUGUCUGUAUUUAGUAAACCACUCCAAGCAAGCCUUGCUGGAGCUCUUCUCUGCACCCAUUUAGCUUGACUAAUUUCAUAUGACGGGAAAAAACUGCUGUUCCCUGCUUAGGAAAAUGAUUUAGAUUAGGCAAAUUUGGCAAUAUAGAAACAUCCACUAAGAAGUGAAGAUAUAUGUGUAUAUAUAUGUAUAUAUAUUAAUCAUUGGAGGAGUAUCUUCUCGCCUAGGCACAACGUGCUGCAGGACCAGACAGCUCGUCCAUCUGGCCAGGUUAAGGGAUGCCACCAUCACAUCCUGACGCCUUUGCUUCGUGUUAUCACCACCUACCCACCCGGUUUAGUCAACCUCCAGCCUACGUACGGACCGAGUCUCUGGACGGGUAAUGAAAUGCUGAACUUGCUCCAUAUUUUCGUCCCAGCAAAUUGCGUCAUGCUUACAUAACUGGUCUGUGGGCCUGAUUAAACCUGCUCAUGUGAAGUGUUCCAGCAGCAAUCGCUGAACUUUAGAACAGGCUGUAGAGCAAGGACAGAAACAUAUAUUUAAAAAAAAUAAUAAUAAUUUCCUCUCUUCCCUGAAGGCUUCACAGCUUCACACUGAUGCAGGUUGCUGGCUGGCAGGACAAGCUACAAACCCACGUGUAGUCUUGAACACGCCAGUGUUUUGAUUACUCUCAGUAUGACUGUGGCCCCAGGAGUCAAAGCAUACUGAUAUGAGCAGCUAUAAAAAGGAGCUCUGAAGCUUGCUGCCUACCACCACAGCCGCCUGGAGAAUCAACAUUACCCGUGGAAAACUCUGCAGAAGGGUUUUUGCACUCAGCUGCCAUCCUCCAGCUGCGUCAGACAAGAAGGCUCAAGGCUCUUUUAGUUGCAGCCUGACCCAGUCCCGUGGGCUCAAACGGCCGCGGUGGUGCAGGACCAGAAGGUGUGCAAGCCACUCAAGGAGAAGAGAUGUCUGUCCUCCAGCACUAAAAACUCUCUUUUGGGCCUUCACCUAAGUUCAGAAAGUGAUUUCUCUCUCUGGCUCCAGUGCCCAGCUCCAAAGACCACCAAACAUUGCUGCAGCAGCUCAGAGCCCCCCAGGCCAUAUGCUAAAGCAAGUCAGCUCUUAAAUGUGAAGGCACAGCCACAAUUUUACUUGGAACUUGAAUAGUCUAGGAAAGCAAACUAAAAGGAGCUGCAAGUAGAGACAAAGACCAAAUACAGCUAACAGCAAGUUUUCAGGUCACACACCUAUAUGCAAGCUGAGAAUUGAGUGGUCAGAUACCAGGAAGAUGGACAACAUCCUGAGAACUUCCUCAUACCAACUGAAUGCUUCAGAAAAGAAAAAUAAAAGUUUCCACAAAGGAGGUGGUUUAGAGCCUUCUUCUAAGGAGAAUUCAGCCUCUCAAAGUACACCACCAGUAUUCCUCAGGGUGCCUGGGGCUUCCUCUGGAUGGAAAAACACUGGUAGCUGUUCAGGUUGCAGUGGCUGCCUUUUAGAGUACCGAUGUGUGGUUACUGCAAGCGGUGAUUAGUAUUCCCAGGGAACUGUCUCUUAUGAAACGAAUACCAGAUUAGCAAGGUGCUGUAUCUCCCACAGCAGUGACAGCGUGUCUCUGGCUGUACCAUCCAUAUUCCCACCGGAGAAAUCUGUCACUGAUCCUUGCAGGCAAGCUUUUGUGGUGAUAAUAAACAACACUUUAAAAGCUCACAGUUGCUGUAAAGAGUCCUCAUCAAGAGGACACUUGUAACGAGGCAAGAGACGGCCCUGAUGUACCGUUUUCUAGGAAGAAAUAACGAUUAGGUAACACUUACAUAAGCAGCAAUGGCUGUUUUUAGCUUUCCAAUGGUCUAUUUUUCCUUUCGAGCACCCUCCAGCAUCUUUUGUAAGUGCUUCUGCCUGUGCGUAAUUGGCUUUGGCGACUUGUGCUUUGCUGACUCGCAGAGCUACCUUUGGAUGCUCUGGUCCAGAGUGCAUCCAGCACUUCUUGCUGGAUGCCUUUGAAAACCAGGGUAGUAAUACCAAAUAACAUCUGAGAAAUUUGCAGCAGAUGAUUGCAAAGAGCAAAACUGCGAGUGCUGAAAUGUUGUUAAGAUGCAUGUCUCGCUGUUUAUAUUUGUGCACUUACCUUUAAUUAAACUAAAAGCCUGUGUUGGGCAAAGGCAUCUGGGGUCCCCUCCCUGAACAUACACACUUGGAGGCAGUAAUUGAGCUAAUGGCCUGUGCUAUUAAAGACAGGCAAAAAUAGUUUAGAAGCAGAGAGGCAAAGUCCCUCUGUGAUGAGCGUGAGAACUGAAGAGGCAGGACACCACAGGAAAUGAUCACAUUGGGGUUUUGCAUCUCUGAGGGGGAUUUCUGGGGUGCCACCCUCCACCCAGGCCUCUCACCACAUCGUGUAAGUGACAGCAGACCCUGGGUUUAUUUUUGUAAGCCGUAAACCUGGGCGGCAGCCGAACAGUGGUGACAGGACUCCAAGACCCGGGUGCUCUUGGGCUCCGAGAACCCCAUAACAACAUCCUCAACCUCAGCUGAGCCAGGAAGCCUUGUGCAUUUUAGAAAGGUCAGAGGUAAUGGCACAAAGAGCAUUGCAGCAGUGCGGCUGGGUUUGGUCAGGCAAAAAUGCUUUUUAAAAUUUAUUUAUUUAUUUAUUUAUUUAUUUUCCAGCUAAAAAAUGCUGUGCAUGCAAAAGAAUUUCCCAGAGGUAUUGCCUCUGCUCCCCUUAGCUCUUUUCCUGUACUCCCCACAGGACCCACAGUCCACUGUGGGAUCGAAGACAAGCAUUGAACACCUUGAAAUGAAGCAGAGCCUUGCAAAGAACCUUCUGAGCAGAAAUCAAGAAGCUAUUAUCAGAGUAUUAUCUCUCUGCACUUGUGCAUUUCUCCUUUCCUGAUGCUGUAGGAAAACCCAAACCAUCCACAGUGGGGUUGGUACCACACUGGAGAACAGGAGGGAUGCAAAAAAACCCUUUCCCUCCCCUCCCCAGAAUGUUAUACUCACGUGGGCACUGAAUUGUCACCAAGUUUGAGGUUUGCAGCCAGAAUGCAGUAUGUGUGCUUAUUUGGGUAGCUGAUCAAAAUAGCAUAUUGAAAAUGUUUUUUGAAUGUCUGCAAGUGUUUUUGGUUUCCUCUUUUUUCUUUUUUUUUUCUCUCUCUUUUUUUUUUUUUUCUCUUUCUUUUAAACCAAAUAACAAUGAAGCUUCAAUAUGGAAAGACUACUGUACUACUGAAAGUUUUGUUUGUGUUAGGGGUCCUCCCAGGAAUUCAUGAGCAGCUGCAUGUUGGAAAGACAUCCCUACGCAUGUGGCUCCUGGGAGGGCUCAGAAAUCAGUUUUUGAAAAAUAAAUGGAAAAAUUGACCCCGGGAGCAAGUUCUCUAUGCUUCUUGGAAAUAUAUGAUUCACAUCCCAGCCUCAUUUUGUAGCCCUUGGGCGGGACAGAAAUACAAGGGGAAAAGGUAGGAAAGUAGAAAGGGCGAGAGGGAAGCCUGCAAUGGGAAAUGGGUGCGUCACAGGAUGAGCUUAGGGUAAGUGGAGUUUCCAUUUGGGCAGUCAGGGGAAAACAUGUCUUUCUGUGUGUAUUAAAAACAUGCUUUCCGACUUCAUAUUUUUACUAGCUAUUUGGUGAAGGAGUCCAGAUGACAUUACAGUACAGAUGUGUGUUAUGAAAACCAGAUAUAGAAACCAUGACUUCCUCAAAGUAUGUGGUGAUUCAGUGGGGGCCAGACUCAACAUUUUUGCCCUCCUGGAGGAAUUUCAUUCAUGAUGGCCCAGAGACUAAUAACACUGCAAGCCACUCCUCAAAUUUUAGUUGUGGACCGAGCAGGGUGAGCUUUGAGGUCAGUCAGCCAACACGGGUAUCUCUUCAUGUUGGUGUAUUGAUAAAGGCCAUAGGGGGAAUGAGAAAAUUAAAUGACAGCAUGAUCAUCGCAUACCCUUAUUUCACUAUCCUAUCCUAUCCUAUCCUAUCCUAUCCUAUCCUAUCCUAUCCUAUCCUAUCCUAUCCAAUCCUAUCUUACCCUAUCCUACCCUAUGCUAUCCUAUCCUAUAUCCAUGCCCAGCACCCAGUUGCUCAUGCAGACAAAAUUAAGCACUAUGAGAGAGGCCCUAGGGAGGCUGAGGAGUUAAAUCUUCCUUGCCACCUUCGCACGGUAUUUGUGUAUCAGAUUCCCUUAAGGAUGCCGGGCUUUUCCCCACCUCGUCAGCGAGCAGCCAGGCUCCAAAUGGAAAACUCGCCACCUGCAGGCCAACGGGACCACUCGCAAGGACCUGGGAACAAAACAGCCCCAGAAGCUCAGGGGGAUUUCCUUUUAGGAUUUCCUCUUUUCUGCUCCGGCUAGCAAAAUGAUGCUGCCCUUUGGGCGAUAUCCCAAGGAAGUUUAGAGGGUCUGCCUCUGGAGCUUGACCUGACCUCAUAAAAACGCAAGCAUGGAGCUGAUGAUCUUCUACAGAAGGCUUCACCCACCCUUGCUCACAAUCUCCCCAUGCAUAGUCGGUGCCUUGGCUGUAGGGUUCCUGCCCCUCAAGUUUCCCAACCCAAGCCCUAGCACCCUCUCCCUGCUCCUAGAAAUCAGCAGCGGUUUCCCCACAAAACAUAUUUUUGGUGAGAACAUACUGUGUCUUAACCAUUUUAUAUUUUUUUUUCCAUGGAAACACGUUUUCUUUGGGAAAGAUACCAAAACACAGUGUUUUGGGAAGCCUGAGCUUGCUUUGUCAGGCUGGAGGAACGUUGCUAGAAUGUGUUUUUCUAUUUGAAAUAAAGAGAAAAGUUGCUGUGUUGCUGUGCCUGCUUUACUGUAGUGAUCAGGACCUCAAGUAAAAGGUCAAGACCAGAAUAAAAUGCUUCAGUUUUAUAAAAUUUUUCCUUGCACCCCUUAAAAACAAGAGGCCGGGGCGAAGCAGCCUCAGUUUCACCCCGUUUUGAGUAGAAGCUAUCCCACAGCCGCUGACAGGAAAACAUAUAAAUACUGCAGAGGAAAGAGAGGAUCUGCAGGACUGCCUUCACCACCCUUGUAAACCGUGCCCUGAAUACCGUCACGCAGCACACUAAUGAGAAACAGCCGGGCCUUAGCAUGCCUCCUGCCCCUAAAUCACCACACAUUUGGCUUGGCUGGGCCUAGUGCCUGUGAGCAGGGCCCAGCCCUGUUUAUGGCUUCUUCUGGCCCUUAGGAUCAGUUUGGUGUGGCCUUGUCCCACCUCUAGCUUCAGCUGUGGGAGGACACAGAGAGCAGCCACCAGGCACGGUGCAGCCCAGAGAGAUGCCAAAGCUUUGGGUGGCUGCUCCUGGUUGACUUAAUUCACUCUUACAAUACUUCAUCGGGCAUGCAAAGAAGGAUGUUAACAACACUCGUAGUGAUCUCACUGCUUCAGAAGCAAAGCCGAAGCUGGUUUUCAGCCCUGAGAAAGCAAAAAAGAAAGACCCAGGGAGGUUGUGGAGUCUCCUUCUCUGGUCUGGAGAUAUUCAAGGCCCAUCUGGACACCUACC